UUCGGUAUUAAGAACUUAUUCUUAAAAUCUAAGAAUCUGUUCAUACUUUUUAAGUUCGAAAUUCAUAUUUUUCCAAAAUUUAAGAAUUAUUUCUUUAAUUUUAUGAAAGUAUACAUAUAAUUUAUGAAAAAAUUCUUACCUUUUGAGUUGUUAAGUAUAUUUUCUUAAAGUCUAUGUAUUUUUUCAUCAAUCUAGAAAACAAUAACUGUUGUUUUGAAUCUAUGCCUAAGAAGGAUUUCUCUGCGGAUUUAGUUUAACAUCUGAUAUUCAAAGUGGAAGGUCGUUGCCGAAACAAAUUUUGUGAAUAAAAAACAAUAUUUAUUAUGUGUUAUAUAUUUUAAACCCCGUAAACAAUUUUGAAGAGUAUAAGACAUUUCAACAGUGGAAAUUAUUGUUGGUUCACGUUGCCUCUUUCUUAUAUACUCAGAUAAGUAUAAAAACAUAAUUAUAUUAAACAUUUCUUUCUAUAUUUUAUAUAUAUAUUUUAAAUUUUUUUGUUAUAGGUACAUAAUUUAGAUACUUUUGUGAAAUGAGUAGGCACGUGAGUAAUCUUCAAUUUGAGACCAUGUUAUUUUCGCAAAAAACCGAAAUAUAAUAGAACCGACAAAAUGGCACUAAAUACUGCUCCGUAAAAACCAUCUUAAAGGCUGUUUGCAACAGAUCCAGAACACCCGAAGUUGCAGAAUAAAGCAAACACAUUAUGUUUGGAAAACAUAGAAUUUACUGCAGAGCCUAAUGCUGCCGGUUACAAUAAGAUGAUGCAUCAAUUAAAAAAGAAAAAUUAAAUUAAAAAAUAUGUAAAUGUAUAGUGACAGUGACCAAUAAAACAUUUUUAUUACGUUUAAAC